rnacentral:rRNA from 1 species
AAGAUGGCGACCGGCGCACGGGUGAGUAACACGUAUCCAACCUGCCGAUAACUCCGGAAUAGCCUUUCGAAAGAAAGAUUAAUACCGGAUGGCAUACGAAUAUCGCAUGAUAUUUUUAUUAAAGAAUUUCGGUUAUCGAUGGGGAUGCGUUCCAUUAGUUUGUUGGCGGGGUAACGGCCCACCAAGACUACGAUGGAUAGGGGUUCUGAGAGGAAGGUCCCCCACCAUUGGAACUGAGACACGGUCCAAACUCCUACGGGAGGCAGCAUG